rnacentral:lncRNA from 1 species
AAGAAAUAAGAGUCAAUAUUAUGACAAAUUAUCAUAAGAAUGCCAAGAAACUAAUACAGAUCAUACACAAGCUCGGAUUGCGAGAAUAGAGUUCCCUCGAGACUCAUAUCAUAGCCUAUUUUUAGCUAAGUCAUGCCAAAAGGAAAGGGUUGUUUUACAAACCUCAAACACUCUCCAAUACAAUCCAAAUGCAAGCCGAAUCCAACCUACGAUUAAGGAUACCCAAAGUCUACAAAUAAUUCAUAAUAAUAACAAACGAUUAGCUAAAGACUUCCUUUGACAUUAAUUCCAACUUUGCCUUUAAUCCUACAAAAAUUUGGGCAACAUUUCCCUUAAAAAAUCUACCCUGAGAAUCCAACUCGGCUCAAUCAAUCAACAACAAUAACAACAACAUUCCAACAACAUCAAUAAUCAAUUCUAAUGAUAAUAUAACAAUAACAGUUAUAUGUAUCAUCAUUUAACAAUAUUCCAAAAAUUUGGCCAACAUACUACAUACCCAUAUGGAUGAUUUCCAACUCCCAAUUAACCAAAUCCUUUCAAAUAUAACUUCAUAAUUAUAUAACAAACCUAACGACAUCAAAAUCACUUAAUUCGGGUGAAAGGGCAAAAUGGUCCAAAAAUUUCAUCACCAGAAAAUGUUAUCUGAAUCUAGAAAUUUUUAUAUGAAAAUGUUCCCAAAGCAAUAAGGAAUUCAGUAGCAAAAACCGUUCCGAAAAUGGAGCUAAUAUGAGGAAGAAAUCGCAAGUUAAAGUUUUUGAAACAAAUUGAAAACUCAGCAGUAAACAACGAUUUUUACCUCAAACAACGCACCAAAAUCAAUUGUUGAAGCUCUCAUAUUGUUCUCUUCAGAAAAUUAUACAAGUUAGCCUUUUGAAUUACUCCAAUCGGACCAAAAAUGAGGGAGAAAUCAAGGUUGAAGUUUUGGGAAAAACUUGGGAACGUUCUGUAAACGUCUCUGCAUAAAUGCAGAUUUUUAAGGCCUGUGAACAGUGAUGGCCAAGUGGCAGCAUCUGAUUGGGCCAUGUGGCCCCGUCUUUUAAUUUACACCCACUACUUAAAUUUAAUUUUGAUGUUUCAGUCUCAUCCAAAGUUGAAAAGAUACAAUCCAUAUAUGAAAUUUUAUCGAAAAUAGCAUUUCGAACUCAAUAGUGUAGUCAAAAUUUCCAACGGAGAUCAUUUUAUGCCCAUAUGGGUCCCACUUCUCAAUCUCAAACACUAUCGGUAGGUCAAAUCAUACGAAAGCCCUAGAACUGAACAAAAGGUCCUCCUAGCCCAAAUUCAAUAUUCCAGAUCUAAUGGAAAUAUCAGAAUUUGCAAUUGAGGCCUCCUUUACCCAAAACCUGAGAAAACUCAUUUAAACUAGUUUCGGAUUCAAAAACUCAAAAUAUUCUCAGAAGCUCUAAAAAUUGCAGCGAAACCAUUUCUAGUGUAAGAUUUACCAUACAAAACUGCUAAAAUUUUUAGAAUUCUAAUUCGAGCUUCCGAACCCCAAAUGUUAACCAAAUUCAAAGUUUGGUUCUAGUAACAACUAAAAAUGCAACUUAUGACCCAAAAUCUUUAUUUUAACUCCAAAUCAAGUUCUGCAAGUUCCCCUAGACUAGGUUCAUCAUUCUAGAGCUGAUGGAAUUGACAAAAUCAUAAUUUAAUAAUUGAAACUCAAAAUGGCCAGAGAAUUCAAAAAUUUCCAACUUCCAAAAAUUCCAAUUUUGGUUCAAAUUUUUUCUAAUUGUUCCAAUACAUGAAAUACGGGUUCUAAUAGGCUAGUGGUGGGGAUGGUGGCGGAGAAUGAUUGUGGAUGGAGGGUGAUGAGUUCUAUUCCUCCUAUGAGAAGUCUUGUGGUGGUGAGGGACUAGUGGCGUUCGAGUCGGUGUCAGAGUAGUCAACAAGAGACGCCAUUUGGUAGUUUUCUUAUGGAAGGGUUUUUCAUGUUUGAAAAAAUGAGGGUUUGUGAGUAAAGUUAAGAACACGGGUGAUAUAUGUCUUUGGAAGUUGGAGGAAGUAUCGGGAUGGGACUGAAAGGACCUGUACUGACACUACAUUUAGCUCGACUUUUGGGAUCCUGAGAAAGGGUGAUCAUUGCCUGUUUUGUAGUAAUAAGCCUUCCCGCCAAAUAGAGAACUAGAUUAAGGGAACUUGGUGUAGGAGAAAGCUACAGAUAACCUUUUGCAAGAUAUGUAUUCAUUCAAAUAAUGAAAGUUAUGCAGCAAGUGCGUACCUGAGAAAUUAGCUUAUGAGGAUUAGUUCCCCCUGACUCAAUACCUUACUCCAGCAAUAGACAUUAAGGGUAAUAUCAGCAGUUCCUAGCAUUGUGUAUCCAUUAGCAUUUUUCUUGGAAGUGUCAAUUUGGUCAUGUUAGAAUGGUUGUACAAUGCUUGGAGUACAAUUCAAGAGUCAGAAAGGAGAGAGGUUAAAACUCCCUGAUUAACCCUAAAUGAAGAUGAUUCAGCUCAAAUUGCUCCCUGCUUAAGGCUUUGGUGAAGAUAUCAGCAACCUCGUCCUCGGUUUUACAGAAAACCAUUUCAACGAGUCUUUUCUCCAUAUUAUCCCUCAGGAAGUGAUGCCUCAUAUUGAUAUAUUUGGUACGCUCGUGCUGAACUGGGUUCUUUGCUAUAUUUACCAUACUUAUGUUAUCACACAUGAUAGGAAUGCAUUCAACUUGGAUCCUAAAGUCUGCAAGUUCCUGUUUUAUCCAUAGAAGUUGAGCAUAACAGGAGGCCGCAACAACAUAUUCAGCUUCGGCUGUUGACAAGGCAACUGAGUUUUGUUUCUUGGUCACCCAUGAGACCAUACAGGAUCCCAGAAAGUGUGCCAUUCUUGAGGUUCUCUUCCUGUCUGUAGAAUAGCUUGUAUAAUCAGCAUCAGCAAAACCAAUAAGAUCAAAGGGGAACCCAGUAGGAUACCAGUGAACCAAGUCCAGGGAACUUUUUAAGUAGCGUAGAAUCUGUUUAACAACUUUGAGAUAGGAUUCCUUAGGCUUUGCUUGAAAUCUUGCACAUAUCCCCACACUAAAGUUGAUAUCUAGUCUACUAGCAGUUAAGUAUAGGAGUGAUCCAAUCAUGUAUAUGUACUUGGUUUCAUCUACUGCCACUCAUGCUUCAUCCUUAUCAAGCCUUGUAGUGGUGGCCAUGGGAAUAUCACUUGCUUUGGCAUCCUGCAUCCCAAACUUUGUGAUGAGCUCCUUGAUGUUUUUUGCUGAUAAAUACAUAUACCUACCUAUUCCUGAUGUAUUUGGAAUCCUAAGAAGAAGUUAAGUUCUCCCGUCAUACUCAUCCCGAACUUGCUGCCCAAGAGUUUUGCAAAUUUCUCCCCUAGGGAUGCGUCUAUUGCCCCAAAAAUAAUUUCAUCGACAUAGACCUGAACAAUGAGUACAUGUUAAACCCUUUCUUCAAGAAUGGGGUCUUAUCAAUUGUUCCUCUUGAGUACCAAUGUUUUAGCAGAAAGCUAGAUAGCCAAUCAUACCAAGCUCUGGAAGCUUGUUUCAGUCCAUAGAGAGCUUUGUCAAGUUUGUACACAUGGUCAGGAUGCUCAUGACUUUCGAAGCCAGGAAGUUGUCUGACUUACACUUCUUCUUGCAAAUACCCAUUGAGGAAAGCACUUUUAACAUCUAUUUGAUAUAGCUUGAAUUCCAUGUGAGCUGCAAAAGCUAUGAGCAUUCGUAUAGCUUUAAUGUGAGCAACAAGGGAAAAGUCUCAUCAUAGUUGAUACCCUCCUCUUGAUUAUACCUUUGCACCAUUAGUCUGGCCUUAUUUCUAGUGACCACUCCUUGUUCAUCAAACUUGUUCUGGAAAACCCAUUUUGUUCCAAUGAUAGUUCGAUGUUCAGGGGGAGGAACUAGGUACCACACCUUGCUGCGCUCAAACUAUAGGAGUUCUUCUUGUAUAGCAGCUAUCCACUCUUCAUCAAGCAAAGCUUCUUUAACAUUUUUUUUUCAACCAGGGAAACAUACGCAGAGAAGGCACACAUGUUUCUAAGCUUUGAUCUGGUAGACAUUCCUGAGUUGAGAGGGGUCAGCAGAUUAUCAAGAGGAUGAGAGCUCUUAUGUUUCCAGUUGUGUCCUGCAUCUUUAGGCAUAGAACUACUUCUGGUUGUACCAGAGGGACCAGGUUCACCUGGGUGAGGCAUCCCUGAUGAACUGUCACUAUUUUUAGGAGUGACUAUUGUAGGAGGUGACACCACUCUCUCCCUAUCGCCUGGAGUCAAUGAUCUUGGUCAACUUCCCUGCUCCCUAUCUUCCUCAUCAUCUGACUCUUUCCAGCUAUCAGUUGUGUCCUUUCUUUGUACUUGUUCCUAUAAAACUUUAUCGGCCCCUUAAUUGGCCUCAUCAAAUAUAACAUGUGCACUUUCUUCUACGCAUCUGGUUCUUUUAUUAUACACUUUAUAAGCUUUGUUAUGAGAAGAGUACCCAACAAAGAUUCCCUCAUCACUUUUGGUGUCAAACUUGCCUAGAGCCUCCUUUCCAUUGUUAUGUACAUAGCAGACACAACCAAAGGAACAGAGAUGUGCUAAGUUUGGUUUUUUGCCUUGAAGUAGUUCAUUGGGGUCCUUAUUCAAAAUGGGUUGAUCACGCAUCUGUUAAUGAGGUAACAGGUGGUGUUCACAGCUUCAGCCCAAAAGCUUUGUGGAAGAUCCCUAGCUAUCAACAUGGUCCUAGCCAUAAUUUCCAAAGUUCUAUUCUUUCUUUUCACAACCCCAUUUGAUGAGGAGUUCUAAUGGCUGAGAAGUUGUGAGUCACCCCAUUUUUAGCACAGAAUAUGAGGAACUUGGAGUUCUCAAAUUUUGUACCAUGGUCUGUUCUCAAGCUCUUCAACUGGCAAUUCAAAUUACUUUAGACCAUUUUAGCAUAUGCUGCAAACAUAUCAAACGUUUUCCCUUUGGAUUUUAUAAAGAAGGUCCAAUUGAAUCUUGAGUAAUCAUCUUCAAGAACGAAAACAUACCUGUUACCGCCUCUGCUUAGUACUCUUAUGGGUCCAUAAAGAUCCAUGUGAACCAGUUCCAAAGGUCCGUUGGUGCUGACCAACCCUACUGGAUGAAACUGCUCCUGACGUGCUUACCUUGAGCACAUGCUCCACAUACUUGAUCUUCACUGAUUUUUCCUUCAAGCAGUCCUAGAACCAGUUCCUUGAGGAUCAAUCUAUUGAUUGUAGAAAAGCUGGCAUGUCCUAGCCUUUUAUGCCAUAGUGAGGAUGCAUCACUCAUAGCGCUCAAACACUGUAUCUCUGGUUGACACGGACCAUUGAUAUCUACCUUGUACACAUUCUUGUGUCUUAUUCCCUUCAGGAUUAGUCUCUUGGAUACUACAUUUGAACCUUGCAUUCUGAUAUAGUAAAGAGUACAUUGUUUCCUUUGUCACACAUUUGGGAAAUGCUUAGAAGGUUAUGUUUCAGACCUUCCACAUAGUACAUAUUUUCAAUACAUUGGGAUAUGUAGAUGGUCCCACUUUCCAAUGCCUUUGAUUUCACCUAGUUUUCCAUUUCCAAAGCCUAUAUUUCCGCCUUGGAAGUCACUCAGUAGAUGGAAGUUGUGUUUGUCGCCCAUCGUGUGCCUGGAGUAUGCGCUAUCCAAGUACACUGCUUCUAUUUACCUUCUACUGGUACCUGUAAAAUUAAUAGAGGUGAGAUUUGGGUACCUAGAUCUACUUGGGUCCUUUUUGAUUGUCGAAAGUGUGAAUAAGAUCCCUUUUUGCCUAGGCAAGAAGAUGUUUGUUGGUUCUUCUAGCUCUGGUGGUUUUGGCAGUGUAUUUACUUUCAUCACUAAACCAGUAAGAUGUAUGAGGCUCUCUUUUGCCUAACAGAUUCCUAUUGGUUCUGGGGGGUAUUUUUCUUCAUUAUUGAACCAACUAUACCUAGGGGGAUAUCCUCUUCCUGAUUCAUUCCUGUUAGUUCUAGGAGGGUAUCUUUUACCUAUCCUAUUUCUAUUACUCCUACGAGAAUACGUUUGUCCUGUUCCUCUUCUUAGGUUACCCCUUUCAUGGUUUCUAUUAAUGUAAGAUUUGUUACUAUUGAGGGCUUUGGCAUUUUUAUUGCAGUUCUCUCUCAAGUGUCUGGACAUCUCACACAAGGUGCACAGAACACCAUGAUCUAUCGCCUGAUUCUUGGGUUCCUUGAUUUUGAACCCAAUCCCAUACUUGAUGGUGGACUGACCAUACUGCAUAUUAUCGAGCAUAGUAGAGGACUUGGUCCACUUCAUAGUGUGCUUUAAUUUAGCUUUGGUCUGGUCAAGUUCUUUCAGGAGAACCUCAUUCUUAUGACUUACGUUGCUUAGCUCUUCUCCUAGCUUCUUAACUUUUUCUUCCAAAUCAGAUUGGGUCACACCCAUAACAUUUUUCGCUUUCCUAGAGGACUUAAGACUGUCAAUCUCCAAUUGUAGUUUUUGAUUGACGUUCUCAAGAUCAACUUUCUUAGUUCUCAGUAGGGCAUACUUCCAAAAGAAAGUCCUUAGAGUCAUAAACGGUCAGAUAAGGCUUCCAUCAAGACCUAUGACAGAGACUCAAGCUUUUUCUUGGAAUAAGUAUGAAUAUUGACUUUAGCUUGUUCAAUAUUCACCUUGGUAUCUAGUAGAGCGUCAUCCUGAUCAUGAGAACCUGCUCCUACCAUUAGAGCUAGAUUCUCCUGCCCAGCUUCAACUUUAUCAGUAUUGAGAUUAGUAGCUUCAGUUAUCUGAUCCUUGCCUCCUUUAUCAUCGGACUCAUCCAUGGCAACAAGAGCAAGGAAAUCAUAUUUUUCUGGUUCCUCGACUGCCAUAAGAGAUUGAUUCUCAAGAGUUUCACCGUCUGAUUCUUCACCUUGAUUGCCAACUAGCACCGCUAAUGCUUUUUUUACUAAAAUUUCUGCUUCCUGACUAGUCAUCCUUCUAUCUUUGCGAACAUAGGAUUCAUCCUUUAUUUCUUUAGGCUUCUCUGGAUUGUUCUUCUUGUACUCAAGUACCCAGAGUGAACAGAACUUGAUGAAGUGGUUGGGGCUACCACACUUGUGGCAUAAUUGUUCCCUCAGAUCUUUCUUAGUUGUUCGUUGAGGUGGUUUUUCUUUGUCCAGUGUUUCCACUUCUCAGCACCUGCUGGAACUUCUUGAUAAUCAAGGCUAUGUUUUCUUCUUCAUAGUCCUCCUUUCUGUAGCCUUUAGAGCCAGGUUUUUGUCCUUCCUCUUAUUAUUGAGCUCGUUCUCCUGAUUCUUCUUGAAUUCGCAAGUGACAAGAUUUCCCAACAGCUGAUCUAUAGUCAUGGUGUCUAGAUCCUUGGCUUCAAUGAUAGCUUUAACCUUGCUUUCCUAGGAUUCAGGUAAAACACGUAGUAGCUUUCAGAUGGCCUUCCCUCUAGGGAUGACUUCUCCAAGGAGUAGAUUUCAUUGACAAUAGCGGAGAACCUGAUUUCCAUUGCAUGUAUUAUCUCGCCUUCAUGCAUUCUGAACAACUCAUACUAUCGAUUGAGAUUAUCAAUCUUAGCCUUCUUCACCUGAGAGGUACCUUCAUGAGUGAUUUCUAGAGUAUCCCAAAUGUGCUUAGCAUCUUAGCAUGACGAUAUCCUAUUAUAUUCAUUGGGACCGAUACCGCACAGUAAGAUCUUCUUAGCCUUAGCAUUGUUCUGAAUGGCAAUUUUGUCAUCAUCAUUCCAUUCACUGCAUUCCUUGGGUACCCUUGGAGCACCCUCAGUAGAGGCAUUCUUCAUUAGAAUAGUUAGUCCGUUUAGUACCACAUUCCAAAGAUCAUGAUGUUCACUCUCAAUAUUAUUCAUUAUUCUAGUUUUCCACCAACCAUAAUACAGUUCGUCGAACAGCGGUGGUCUGGACUGAGAAGCUCCUUCUUAUGCAUAGGUGCGGCUGCCAUUAUCUUUUCAAGGUCAUUAACCUUUUUUUUGAAAAGACCUACUCUGAUACCAAUUGAAAGGAUUAGUGCCUCUGAACUUCUAAUGAACUAGGUUCAAUGAACAGUACUCACUUGUUUGCAAAGUAAUAAUCAAAAGGCAAACAACUUAUAGUGGAAAAAUUUCUUGCUCAAGGGAGAAAUAACCAAUACCUACACUCGUAGGAUUUCAACAACUUCACUAACUUCAAAUGAGCAAUGUUCAACUUACAAUUCUUCCAACACACUCAACACUCAAGAGUCAAACCCACUCUUAAGCAACAACUUUCACAAGAAAAACAAAACAACUUUUUACAAUUUUUGUCACUAAACAGAGACUCUAAGAAAUUGUCAAUCAUACUUGAACAAUAAAGAAAACCUAACUCUAGAUCAUGCUUGAGUGCUCUCGCCAAGUGCCCAUGCUUUUGUUAAAUGCUCUCUCAAUUUCAGAUUACAAAAGCUAUAUCUUCUAGGUUCAAUGAUUGUAUUUAUAUUUAACCCUAGAGACCUUUCAUAUGGGACUCCUUUCUUGAGUAGAGGAUGUUAUUCUUUUCCAUAAAGGAGUCCUUUUCCAAAACUGCUACCUUUACUGUAUCUCAUACUAAUUUUGUUUCCAUAAAUAGCACUCUGAUUUCGAUUGGGACUCUGCAUGUCUUCACGGGUACACAUAUGCUGGACCAGGUUCCUUAGCCAACUAUUGUUAGCUCCGUUUGUCAUCAUCAAAACAAUAUAGUUAUACCUGCAAAUAUACUAACACCUACACAUGAGGAGAAAAAAUUUGUAGCUUCAUUUAACAAAGGGGUUACUACUAUUACAAUCAUCUUGAAUUGUAAACAUUAGACAGUUCAAUCAAGCAUUAAUGAAAAUGUUCUUACCAUUCAGAAGCUGAAGAUCUCUUGCACCACCCCUGCCAUGAGAGAAAAUAAACCACAAGAUCUUAAUCAGCAAAGAAUCAAAAAACAUUUUAGAACAUGAAAAAGCAAUUACACAAAAAAAUUUGUUAAUAAUAAAUGAAAAACAGAGAAAUCCAGGAGGGUCAUUAGCUCAUGGAUUGAAACUAGGUAGAUCAUGAGUUGGACCCUCUGUCUUUCUGCACUUAAGUACCAGAUAUUUGUCUAGAGAAAGGUUCGAACUCGUGAUGUGCGCUUAGCAUACACAUCAUGGAUUGUUCUCUUACCAUUACACCAAAGAGGCAAAGACCUGGGAUCAGAAUUACAUAAUACCUCAACACGCUACUUUAUCUAUCAAAUGAAUACUGGAGCUCAUCUAGUGGAUUUUAACAUCUAACAGUGAAAACUAUUAAAAGGAACUAAAUUCUAAAAAAAAAUCGUCCCACACAAGACAAAUUUAAACAAAAAAGAAUAAGCCAAAAAAUACCUAGUGGAAUCCCAUAAGUAGGAUCUGGGAAGGACAGAAUGUACGCGGACCUUACCACUACCUCAUUUGAGAAAUAUAAACCAAAAAAUACAUCUGAAUAUAUCAGCAAUAACAAUCUCAUUUGCCAACAUUGUCAAUAAUUUGAACUCAUGUAAUUCAUAAGGAAAUAACUACUCUAAACACAUUGUUGUUCAUCCUAGUGUUAUGCAAACCCUAAAUUUCUACUUUGUUGGUCCUUUACCAGGCCUUGUCACAUUAUCUUGCAAAGUCAGUGCAGAUAAAGGUUUAUUUACCUAUUGCAUCACAGAAACCAAUUGUCCCUUUUGUCUCUAUAAUAAAGAGGUCAUAAAUUAGGUAAUUCACAAAAGUUUGGUUAUGGUUCAAGUAAAUAAAACUGAAGUAACAUCAUACAAAAUAGUACUACUCAUUUUUCGGAAUACAUAUGAAGCAACUUAGCACUUCUCCAAAUUGUCAAGGACGAUUAGGUUGAUCGCUGAAUAAGAUGGAAGAGUAAAGAUAGCACCAUAUUGUUAAUAGAAAAAGUAAGAUACCUAGCUGACGUCUUACUAUUGCCCUUCUCAGGUAAAAUAAUUAUCUCUGUCUUAACAACGAAAAAAAUAUAUGGCCCUUUUUGCCUGUCAACUUUCUUGAUGUGCCAAAAAGCCUGUUAAUCAUGUUCUGCUCAUAGCACUUUAGCCUUCUCCACUUUGACAUCUUAAGAUGUCAUGUCAACUACUUUAGUUUGAGUGUCUUCUUACAAACUUAUUAAUUCAAUACUCAUCUUUUAUCAGAAAAAUUUAGUAAUCAUCUAGUGGUAUUAAGAUUAGCAUCAUCUUUCAACUAUAUGCUAAACGCUGUAAUACUCAUCUAGUCAGUUCGUGUUUAAAGUAUUGUUCAAUAAUUUACCCCAUGGAUUAGGAAGCAUAAUAGAUUAACAUUUUGCAUGACAAACCCCCUACCUCCCUCUCAAGGUGCCAUCCUCUGAUUUCAUAGCUUUAUUUUCUGCUAUCUUAAACUAUUCAUAUCCUAACUUAAACUCACUGAGAUUCAGUCACCAAAGAAAGCAACGAAAUGAAUAAGAACUAGAAUAACUAAAUUUAGUUGAACUAGGACACAUUUCACAUUAGUUUAAUUUCUUUACUGCCAUUUACAAAUUUUUGAUAUGACUGAUCGACAUUCUCUUUUAUAAAUUACAGGUAGAAUAAUUAUCUACGGGGCAACUUCAUUUAGUGGUUGAAUAAGUGGAAACUGGAUAUUAGGUAUCAGACUUUACAAGAACAAAUCUCCCAGAUAUUGAUGGAUGAAAAUUGGAUGUGAUAUUUGCACAGUUGGUGUCCAGGAAACGAGCAAAACAGUAGCAGUCAACUGAAACCUUCAAAGUGACUUCAGGAAAGCCCCAUAAAAGGAACUUGUUGGUGGACAUCACAGAUAUGUUCUACCACCAUAAAAAUCUUUUGGCUUAUAGAACUUUGUCGUUAUACUAUAAUGACCACAAGGUUACAUCAAAUAACAAAAAAUUCGUUAAACUUUCAUUCUUUUUCAAAACUUAGACAUCUUAGCCUAAUCCAUAUGCUUGUCAGAUCACUACAAGAAAAAAAACUAAUCACUACAUAGCAUUUAGGAGAGUCCAAAUGUAGAAUUGAUAUCAGAGAUAGUAAGAUUAGUAAUCUAUGAAUCACAAACUUCUUGAUUUUAAAAUCAAGGUAUCAACUACCAGCAUAAAAAUAUCAAUGGAAGAAAACAUACAACACAUUUAAAAAAAGGUCAAAUUUAAAUCAUGUCAUUUAGAUAGUAAAAAAACUUUAAUGGAGGAUUUCCUUAUGGAGCAGAAUCUGUUGUCUAUCUUCAUCUCUUUCUACACAUUAGUUGGCCUUACCUCCCAUAUAUUGAUGAACCUGAUUGAGCUGAUGAUGAUGUAGCCAAUGUUUGCUGCUGAGACGGAGACAUGUUAGCCUCUGUACUAUUAUUCCUGCCAACGGGAAAUAUUUUAGGCUGUCCUUGUUGAGUCAUCACGGGAGUAGGCAUCAUUGUGCCAAUUUCUAAAGGCAUCCCAGUGCCCAUUCCACUUGGCAUGUUCUGGUGCAUUGGUAUCUUGCUUGGCAUCAAUUGAGACCUAGGAAGAUUUCCUCGACUCAUUACAGGUGUUGUUAGAGUACCUACACCAAUGCGUCCUUGGAUAUUACUUAACAUUUGUCCCGAAGGCACACUAAUACCCAUUCCCCUCGUCAUAUUCUUGUGCAUGUCCAUCCCGCUUUGCAUCAUUUGAGAUUAUUCCAGGUGUUGUGAGACUGCCUGCACCAAUGCCUCCUUGGAUAUUACUCAACAGUUGUCCCAAAUACAUAUUGGUAUCCAUUCCACUCGGCACAUUCUGGUGCAUGCCUACCCCAUUUUGCAUCAGUUGAGACCCAGGAAGAAAUCCUUGACUUAUUACAGGUGUUGUAUGACUGCCUGCACCAAUGCCUCCUUGGAUAUUACUCAACAGUUGUCCCAAAUACAUAUUGGUAUCCAUUCCACUCGCCACAUUCUGGUGCAUGCCUACCCCAUUUUGCAUCAGUUGAGACCCAGGAAGAAAUCCUUGACUUAUUACAGGUGUUGUAUGACUGCCUGCACCAAUGCCUCCUUGGAUAUUACUCAACAGUUGUCCCAAAUACAUAUUGGUAUCCAUUCCACUCGCCACAUUCUGGUGCAUGCCUACCCCAUUUUGCAUCAGUUGAGACCCAGGAAGAAAUCCUUGACUUAUUACAGGUGUUGUAUGACUGCCUGCACCAAUGGCUCCUUGGAUAUUACUCAACAGUUGUUCCGAAGGCAUACCAGUACCUAUUCCACUCGGCACAUUAUGGUGCAUGACUAUCCCGCUUUGAAUUAUUUGAGACCCAAGAAUAUUUCCUCGACUCCUUACGGAGGUUGUUUGACUGGUUGCACCAACGCCUCCUUGGAUAUUGCUCAAUGGUUCGGACAUGCAAGGGUUAGAAUUGCUAAACAUAUUGGGAGUCAUCACAGUUGAUGAUGCAGGACCAAAAAUUUGGGAUAUUUGAUCAGUUCUAACAAAUAAAGCAACCCUAGUCAUUGAUGUGGAACCUAGUUGCCCCGAUAUUAAUAUAGCUGGAGCAGCAGAUAUGGCAUAAGUCACUCCAUUCAAUAUUCCCACAUUUGCAGCUGCACCCUCAAAUGGACUUAAGGACUGUGUCAUCACAUAGAAAAUAGGUAUUGUUUCCUUAGUAUUCUCAUUAUUUGGAACCAUAAUUAAGAAAUUAAACAUAUGAGAUCAUCACACAAAUUAGCACUACAGCAUAUGAAUAUUACUAAUAUUGACUGUCAACAUGAACUCAAUUCCACCAAAAUAAUUACCGAAGGAAAAUAUUACUAAUAUGUUACGAAUAAGACUGAAAUUGCAUUGAACAAAUGAAUACCGUCUGAUUCUUCGCCGGCAUAAUUCAAGCCAAUUCUUUGCCAAAAAGUUCCAAUUGCACCGCCGCAAAAACUAGGAACGAUGAACUGUUUGUCCGACAUAUGUGCUUUGUCGAAGAUUCUAGAAACUGAAUAGCAAUUCUUGAAACUCCAUAGUAAUUUCCAUGAGCGAAGAUUAAGAGUUUUUUCAGGUAUUUAUACCUUUAGUGAUAAUGAAGGGAAAAAGAAGAUGAAUUAUAAGUUGUUCUUUUUUUUAUUUUGAUAUUGAUAAUAAUAUUGUAGUAAGAACAUUAAGUUUUUAAUUAAUUUAAUCUUGUACAUUUGAUUCUCUUAGCUGGUAAAUAUUCAUAAGUUUACAUAAUUAUUAAUCAUUUCAUAGCUUAAUUACUUAUGUGACAUGCUAAGUUUGUAUUGGUAUUUUGUUGUAUUUGAUGAUUAUAUAAUUUUUUUAAAAAUGUUAAAAAGAAUAUAAAAGAAUGGAGAAAGAGGGAAGCAAGAAGCAAGGUUUGAACAAUGUGCCAAGAGUGCAAAAGAUAUGGGAUUAACUGUAACAAGCUCAAGAACGAGUCAAGAGCGAUACAGGAUUAACCCUAAUAAGCUCUUGGCCACUUGAAGAGACCAAAAAAAAUUAUUUUAUCUUGACUUAACCCAAUUAAAGACUUAAUUCGACCAAGUUCAAAAUUUAUUAUAACAAUUGUUUAUAUUUAAUUAAUAAUUUAGAAAAAAUUCUACUAAAACUAAAAUAGUAAUUACUUGUGCUUGAUUUUAAGUCUAGAAGUUAGGAUGAAAUCUUAUAAUUAAUAUUACAAAAUAUUUACUUUUUGUCUAAAAAUUUAACCAAAUACCUCAACUUUUUAAAAUAGGGUAAAUUACGCAACUAGACAAACAUAUGAUAUAUAUUUACAUAUAGUAAAAAUAUUAAAGAGUUCCCUUACCAAGCGUUAGAAAUGUGUAGAUUUAGCUCAAAUGUUUUUCUUAUUUGACUAAUUGAUAGAUUUUGGCUGAAAAAAUCAACUAAAUAUUCUCUUUUUAACUAAAUAUACGCAUUUUCCCUGGAGCAAGGCAAGUUCACUUGUAUACUCUUUCAUAUAUAUAGCGCAACCCAAUUUGGACUUUUUACCUUUUCUCUUUUUAAAUAAAAAUACCUAACUAACCUAAAUAAUAAGAACAUCCUCCUUGACAGCGGUAUAUGUUGUAUAUGUAAAUCCUAGAUGUGAAAAUAUAUGGAAUUCCUCUAUGAAAAGUAUAAAAAAAACGCAAAGAAAAGAAUAGGUUAGGCAUAAAUCUAUAUGCUAAAAUUUAAAUAAAAAAUAAAUAAGAAGAGGAGCCCAUUAGAUACAAAUAAUGAAUCGUAAUAAAAAUCAAAAAGAAAGUUCAGGAUCGAAUUCCAUAGAAUAAAUAAUAUGGAUGGGCUUGUCUAUAAUGAUAGACAAAUGAAAGACUUUCUCAAGAUUCUGAUUUAUCCACUUGAGAUUUUGAAAUUAAAAUAGGUUGGGUGAGCUUGCAAAUUAACUCAGUCUCAUUGAAUAAGUAAACAAUUGGAUUGGUUUAAUUGCAUGGUGCCGACGAAAUCGAGUGCUAAUUCCCAUUUUAUUGAAUUAACCGAUCGACGUGCUAGCGGACAUUUAUUUUNAGUUGGGUGAGCUUGCAAAUUAACUCAUUCUCAAUGAAUAAGUAAACAAUGGGAUUGGUUCAAUUGCAUGGUGCCAACGAAAUCGAGUGCUAAUUCCCAUUUUAG